rnacentral:misc_RNA from 1 species
GCCCAACAUCGGUUUUACGUGGGGGUGACUGAGAUGCACGCAUCUAUUUUCCCAAAAGCAAAUCCCAACUACUGCCCUUUCAUUUUCAGUAAAGUCCUUUUUCCCUCUACUCUCUCUCACUGUAUAAAUUUCUGAGUUAUCAUCCCCUACUUUUGCCCAUUUUCUGAUUUCAGAUUACACAAACCCUUUUUCUCGAAACCAAACAAACUUGCACGGGAACUCUCUCUCCCUUUUUAAAAUGUUUCAUUUUUGAAAUUUCUAGGGUUUUGGUUGGUUUGGCUCCCUUUUACUUAUUGUUUUCCUUUAGAUAACAAUUAAAAGUUUUUGCAAUGUAUAAUUUUUACUUGUCUAUUUCGUAUGGAGAUCUUUUCAUGAUAUUACCACCGCAUUUUCU